rnacentral:rRNA from 1 species
CCUACGGGUGGCAGCAGUGAGGAAUAUUGGUCAAUGGACGCAAGUCUGAACCAGCCAUGCCGCGUGCAGGAUGACGGCUCUAUGAGUUGUAAACUGCUUUUGUACGAGGGUAAACCCCGAUACGUGUAUCGGGUUGAAAGUAUCGUACGAAUAAGGAUCGGCUAACUCCGUGCCAGCAGCCGCGGUAAUACGGAGGAUCCGAGCGUUAUCCGGAUUUAUUGGGUUUAAAGGGUGCGUAGGCGGUGUGUCAAGUCAGCGGUAAAAUGUCGGGGCUCAACCCCGGCCGGCCGUUGAAACUGGCGUGCUCGAGUUGGAGAGAAGUAUGCGGAAUUCGUGGUGUAGCGGUGAAAUGCAUAGAUAUCACGAAGAACCCCGAUUGCGAAGGCAGCAUACCGGCUCCACACUGACGCUGAGGCACGAAAGCGUGGGUAUCGAACAGGAUUAGAUACCCCGGUAGUC